UGGGGAAUAUUGGACAAUGGGCGAAAGCCUGAUCCAGCCAUGCCGCGUGAGUGAUGAAGGCCUUAGGGUUGUAAUGCUCUUUUGGCGGGGACGAUAAUGACGGUACCCGCAGAAUAAGCCCCGGCUAACUUCGUGCCAGCAGCCGCGGUAAUACGAAGGGGGCUAGCGUUGUUCGGAAUUACUGGGCGUAAAGCGCACGUAGGCGGAUCAGCAAGUCAGGGGUGAAAUCCCGGGGCUCAACCUCGGAACUGCCUCUGAUACUGCUAGUCUAGAGUCCGGAAGAGGUGGGUGGAAUUCCUAGUGUAGAGGUGAAAUUCGUAGAUAUUAGGAAGAACACCGGUGGCGAAGGCGGCCCACUGGCUCGAUACUGACGCUGAGGUGCGAAAGCGUGGGGAGCAAACAGGAUUAGAUACCCGGGUAGUCCCUGAGCGGGCUGGCAAGGCGCAU
rnacentral:rRNA from 1 species